UACGUAGGGGGCAAGCGUUGUCCGGAUUUAUUGGGCGUAAAGAGCGUGUAGGCGGCUUGGUAGGUCCGCUGUGAAAACUCGAGGCUCGACCUCGAGAUGUCGGCGGAAACCGCUUGGCUAGAGUCCGGAAGAGGAGAGUGGAAUUCCCGGUGUAGCGGUGAAAUGCGCAGAUAUCGGGAAGAACACCUAUGGCGAAGGCAGCUCUCUGGGACGGUACUGACGCUGAGACGCGAAAGCGUGGGGAGCGAACAGG
rnacentral:rRNA from 1 species